UUCGCUCCCUGCCCUGCAUAGUGGCAGGCCAGGGACCCAGCUGUGCUCCCCUCUGUUCCUCUGUGCUCUGCUAGGGGGGUUCGCCCCACAGUCUGGGGACCUCUGGUCUACUGGGUUUUUGUUUGAUGAGUGAAAAACACGAGAAGUGAUUUCUUGGGAGAUGUCAUAGACUGGCUGGCCCUGAAAGGGAGUCAGGCUCAGCCUUGCCUCUCAGACCUAGCAGUUAACCCCCAGCUGCUCCUGAUCUGGUGACUCAAUUACAAUUAUUAAUCCCAGCUGUGAAAGGGUCAGGGUGGACUAGGUAGAGAGCUCACUGAGGGAGGAGACCUAGGUCAUGAGAGGAACAUGGGGAGUUCUCUUCUCUGGGAAGAAGAGGGUCUGUGACAAACAGGGAGGUCCCUGGGAGACACUGAGGGAAUCCCUGAGGAGGGAAGAUAGUGGGGAAGCCUGACAGGAAGAAAGGCCUCUAGGGAAAAAGCAAUGAAAGAAAUCUGCAGUCCCCAGGACUUGAGAUGAAGAACAGGGAACUUUUCUGUUUGGAUGGGGGGGGGGGAUGUUUUGUGGUUUCAAAAGGGGCCUGAACUAGACGCUUCUCAGCUGGAGGGCAAAUUGUGCAUGGUGGCAGUCUACAGGGGGUCUGGAGACAGAUCUGUGCAACUCCAUGCUUCCACACCAGGCUCUGAUUCGGUUGAAACCUGCCACUCAGCGGUUGCAACACUGCAUAACUCAGGCUUCGUUAUCUACAGAAAAGCGGGGAAGAGUGAGCAUUGGUGGUGGAAAGUCUGGUGUCAAAUUUAAACUUCAGUGGAAACAUGGGGGAAAUUCUGGACCAGGACUUGCAACACAGCUUAUUGUAACCAGGAAUUGAGCAGUAACGAGAGAGAACUUCCAUGCGACAAAACAUGGACUUGUCUCCUUGGCAACGUUCCCCUGAAAGAGAGAAAGAGGAAAG